UCAAGAUGUAGCUUAACUAAAGCAUCCGGCUUACACCCAGAAGACUUCUAACUAUCAGAACAUCUUGA
rnacentral:tRNA from 1 species